rnacentral:rRNA from 1 species
GCUAGCAGCCAAAUCACCCUGCAGCUCUCAACUGGCUACCCACUUAAACUAAGCAGGGUUGAGCCUGGUCAGUACCUGGAUAGGAGACCUCUUGGGAAGCUAUGGUUUCUGCUGGAA